rnacentral:rRNA from 1 species
AUGAAAUUCUAUUAUACCAAAGGGACUUGGUAAAGGCGAAGGCAGCCCUCUAUGUAAAAACUGACGUUGAAGGACGAAGGCACAGAGCACAAACAGGAUUAGAUACCCAAGUAGUCUUUGCAGUAAAUGAUGAAUGUCAUAGGUUAGAUUAAGCUUUAAUUAAUUAGUUUAUCAGUAAUGAACUAACUAUUAAACAAUAUUUAGUCUAUAAAUGAAAGUGUAAGCAUUCCACCUCAAGAGUAAUGUGGCAACGCAGGAACUGAAAUCACUAGACCGUUUCUGACACCAGUAGUGAAGUAUGUUGUUUAAUUCGAUGAUCCACGAAAAACCUUACCACAAUUUGAAUAUUUUACAGGAGUUGCACGGCUGUUUUCAGUUAAUGUUGUGAAACUGUGGUUUCCAUGAAAUUAACGCAAUCCCUGGCUUUAUUUUUUUUUUAUUACGAUAAAGCAUUUGAUCCAGGAUUUGGAAAGAAAAAGGGGACAAAGACAAGUCAUCAUGGCCUUGAUAUUGUGGGCUAUAGACGUGCCACAUAUUCCUACACAAAGAGAUGCAAAAAUGUGAAUUUAAGCUAAUCUCUAAAAAUAGGAUAUAAAUUUUAAGGAUUAUAGUCUGAAACUCGACUAUAUGAAUAAGUAAUUACUAGUAAUCGUGAAUCACCAUGUCACGGUGAAUUUACCUUGGAUUGGUACUAACCACUCGUCACAUGCUGAAAAGAGCAUGCGCAAUAAGUUUGCUUUCUUGAUGAUCAGUAAAAGAAUAAGCAGGUUCUAUAUUCUAUUAUUAAG